CCUACGGGCGGCUGCAGUGGGGAAUAUUGCACAAUGGAGGGAACUCUGAUGCAGCGACGCCGCGUGAGUGAAGAAGGUCUUCGGAUCGUAAAACUCUGUCCUUGGUGAAGAUAAUGACGGUAACCAAGGAGGAAGCCCCGGCUAACUACGUGCCAGCAGCCGCGGUAAUACGUAGGGGGCUAGCGUUGUCCGGAUUUACUGGGCGUAAAGGGUGAGUAGGCGGUUAUGUAUGUCAGAUGUAAAAGGCGCGGGCUUAACUUGCGUUAGCAUUUGAAACUGCAUAACUUGAGUGCAGGAGAGGUAAGCGGAAUUCCUAGUGUAGCGGUGAAAUGCGUAGAUAUUAGGAGGAACACCGGUGGCGAAGGCGGCUUACUGGACUGUAACUGACGCUGAGUCACGAAAGCGUGGGUAGCAAACAGGCUUAGAUACCCCAGUAGUC
rnacentral:rRNA from 1 species